rnacentral:rRNA from 1 species
GAUGAACGCUGGCGGCGUGCCUAAUACAUGCAAGUCGAGCGAACAGAUCAGGAGCUUGCUCCUUUGACGUUAGCGGCGGACGGGUGAGUAACACGUGGGUAACCUACCUAUAAGACUGGAAUAACUCCGGGAAACCGGGGCUAAUGCCGGAUAACAUGUUGAACCGCAUGGUUCUACAGUGAAAGGCGGCUUUGCUGUCACUUAUAGAUGGACCCGCGCCGUAUUAGCUAGUUGGUGAGGUAACGGCUCACCAAGGCAACGAUACGUAGCCGACCUGAGAGGGUGAUCGGCCACACGGGAAGUGAGACACGGUCAAGACUCCUACGGGAGGCAGCAGUAGGGAAUCUGCCGCAGUGGGCGAGAGCCUGACGGAGCAACGCCGCGUGAGUGAUGAAGGUCUUCGGAGCGUAAAACUCGGUUAUGAGGGAAGAACCAAUGCGUAAGUAACUGUGCGCGUCUUGACGGUACCUAAUCAGAAAGCCACGGCUAACUACGUG